rnacentral:lncRNA from 1 species
AUGUCCUGCCAGCAGAACCAGCAGCAGUGCCAGCCCCCUCCCAAGNNNNNNNNNNNNNNNNNNNNNNNNAAAUGCCCCCCAAAGUGCCCCCCAGUCUCCUCUUGCUGUGGUGUCAGCUCUGGGGGCUGCUGCAGCUCUGGGUCUGGGGGCUGCUGCAGCUCUGGGUCUGGGGGCUGCUGCCUGAGUCACCACAGGCGUCGCAGGUCCCACCGCCACAGACCCCAGAGCUCUGACUGCUGCAGCCAGCCCUCAGGGGGCUCCGGGUGCUGUGGAGGGGGGAGUGGUCAGUCCUCUGGAGGUGGCUGCUGCUGAAGAUGUCCCUGAAUCUACAAGAUCCAACCUGGGGACAGCACACUGCUGAGGACAUCAUCUUUAUCCUCCUUCAUUGGUUGCAGAGCCUGAGAGGUCCUGUAGAAGAAUCUGAACUUGCAAAGACAAUGAACGCUCCCUGGGGUUCAGAAACUCAAAUUUUCUUCUGAGCCCCCUUCCAUGGCCUUGGAUUCUAUGUCUACCCUCACUUCCCUAGGAAAACUUCCCUAAGUUACUCCUUGUGGUAUUUUCUUAAAGGGUGCUCUCUGACUGAUGUAAACAAUAAAAUGAAUCUGCUCAGCAUGUUGGCCUUGAGUCGCCUUUGUUUUCUACCCUGACCUCUCCCGCUGGUGGUCUUGAACCCCAUGCGCCAGAGAGGCACUCUGAUGCAAAAGAGACAAAUGCUCCUAACUCUUGUUUUUUCUUAUGUCAUCAGGGCCCUGAAGUAUCAUUGACGGACUGAGUUUCAGGUGCUUUUUUGUAAACAUAAUUUCCUGGGUUCUUGGCCACCUUUGGGGCCCUAACCCAGCCUUUUCAUGUUCCUCCAUGUUCCUCUUCUCCCGUGUACGCAUUCUGCUACUCUUGACCCACCCCACCAAAGCAUCCUUCCUCCACACAUGCACAUACUUGCAUGAAAGAAAAAGAGAAGAAAAAAUAAAUGAAGUAAAAAAAAGAGACAAAUUCAACACAUUUUGAAAGCCCAUGGUUUUUAUCCACCCCUUCUUCAAUCAGUUUGGUUCCAGGCACGUGCAUGCUGCACGCUCAGUCGCUUCAGUCACGUCCAGCUCUUUGUGACCCCAUGGGCUGCGG